CGAGAGGAGGACAAGUCACUGGGCGCGGGAAUGGAUCAAACACCGCCGUCGUCGCCGGGCGACACCCAUGGCCGUGGUGAGUGGCCCUCAUUGCCGACCCGAUCUCAUGCUUCUCUCUCUCUCUCCCUCCCUCCACCAUUCCCACCGCUCGCCUGCUGUUCUUCUCGCCGGAGAGGAAGCUACGGCUCUAUUACAAACCCUUGAUUCUCUUCCUUUCCUAUCCCUCCCUGGCCAUGUACUCCCGGAACCCUAGAUCCAGAUCCAAUGAGGUAUCUCUGAAUUAUGUGGUGGAUUGGGUGGUACAGAGUGUGAGAUGGAUCUUCAGAGAGCUCUCGGCCAGGAUCGCGUGGGAGAAGCUGGCCCGGUCGGGCGAUUUUGACAAAAAUCGACGUCCUUGAGUUCACCACUGAGUUCUUUUAUUGGCAAUGUACCUUCUCCCUUUUGGUGGCGUUCUGUUGAUGGUUAUGGUUCGCCUCCCCAACUUCAGAAACACUUGCAUUAUAAGCUUAAAACCCAUCUAAUUGAUGAACUAGCCCUCGCUGAAGUCCAGCAUAUCAUCAAGCCUGAAUGUCUCUGGAUCAAAUUCCAUAUCUAAGCUGCUGGUAGAAGAUCGAAUGCUUGAUGUAACAUCCAAUUGGUCCCAAGUAACCCCCAUGAAAUGCGCCACUGGAGCAGAACCUUCGAAGUCUGAGAAGUCAGGGAGCACCAGAAGUUCUGUUGAGCCACUGCGAGGUGAGUUAUUGCUUAGCACUUCUUCAUCGCACUCCAGCUUUAUUGGGGGGAGAAGUGGCGCAGAAGAAAGAGGAGCUUCUUGGUGAGUAUUUGCAGUGUCUCCUGAAUUGAAACUGAUAAUCCAAGGCGUCGCUAACUUGGUUGAAUCCACGCAUGUGUGUUCUCCCAUGUAGAUGAUGGUGAACAUGGAGGCAUCCUCUGUCUUCUGGACUUGUCGCGUGGCUUGGCAACCUCUGUCAAACUUGUGUGAGCAUCUGUAGUAGCUUCUGCAAAUCAGAUCGAAUCAUCUCAAAUUCCCUUGGACAAAUCAUGCAAUGCAGGUAUACAACCCAUCUACAUCGUACUAAGUGUUCUAAAUGUUUUUGCUCACUAUUAACUGGGAAAAAUCAUAUAAUCCGAUUUUAGUUCUCUUUUGGUCCUGGGCUGCAACUUAAUUUUGGUUUCGAUACAUCAUUUUCUUUGAAUUUCCUCAGACUUGGGCUUUUCUAUGAAACUGGAUAGAAUUUCUAUUUAGAUAAAGAGCUCCGUUGAAUUUUCAUUCUGAGCUGAUUAUCUCUAGCAUAAAACGUUCAGAUAAACAUGAGUGGAACUGAAUUGGUACCUUUGAUGUGUAGUACCGUAUAUGAUCUUCUGUCCAUACUUUCUCCAUGUGUAGCCAUCUUCGAUCUCCUUGGUAAUAAUUGUUCUGCAUGUGUAUGGAUGUGAUCUGCCAACAGCAGAUGACAUGAAACAAGUUGAAUUGAUUAAACAAGGCCAACGAAAAAGAAA